rnacentral:rRNA from 1 species
AACGAACGCUGGCGGCAGGCCUAACACAUGCAAGUCGAACGAGAAACCAGAGCUUGCUCUGGCGGAAAGUGGCAGACGGGUGAGUAACGCGUGGGAAUUUACCCAGUGGUACGGAAUAACUCAGGGAAACUUGUGCUAAUACCGUAUACGCCCUUCGGGGGAAAGAGUUUAUCGCCAUUGGAUGAGCCCGCGUUAGAUUAGUUUGUUGGUGGGGUAAUGGCCUACCAAGACUACGAUCUAUAGCUGGUCUGAGAGGAUGAUCAGCCACACUGGGACUGAGACACGGCCCAGACUCCUACGGGAGGCAGCAGUGGGGAAUAUUGCACAAUGGGCGCAAGCCUGAUGCAGCCAUGCCGCGUGAGUGAAGAAGGCCUUAGGGUUGUAAAACUCUUUCACCGGUGAAGAUAAUGACGGUAGCCGGAGAAGAAGCCCCGGCUAACUCCGUG